rnacentral:rRNA from 1 species
UACAGAGGUCCCAAGCGUUGUUCGGAUUCACUGGGCGUAAAGCGUGUGUAGGCGGACCGUUAAGUGUCUUGUGAAAUCCCCCGGCUCAACCGGGGAAUUGCUGGGCAUACUGGCGGUCUUGAGCAGUCUAGGGGCAGAUGGAACAAGUGGUGGAGCGGUGAAAUGCGUAGAUAUCGCUUGGAACGCCAAAGGUGAAGACAGUCUGCUGGGGACUUGCUGACGCUGAGACACGAAAGCCAGGGGAGCGAACGGG